CAAAUGUACAAGUUCGAAAAAGAAAAAUCAAAAAGCCAAACAGAGUGUUGGAGAAUCCCACAAAUCUCAGUCAGCCAGACUCGGACUGGGCUGGUUCCUCACAUGAUGGCAGAAAAUGGGACAAGAACUCAGAACGUGUGUUGCCUGCGGCUGGAACCAUCAUCUCAUUGUCAACUUUCAUCUGCAGUUAGGGCUGCUAAGUGACAGACGAAAAACAAUUACAGGGCAGUAGAAGCGAGCGAAGGAGCCAGCUACUGACAACACUCUCCCCUGGACCACUCUCGGCCUCGACCUUGGUGUGUGUCCUUGUUAGGCCUGAAUCAUCCAGCUGUAGCAAGAAUCCUGUUGAGUUGGCUAAGUUACAAUCCCCCACCCUGGCUAUCUGAUCAAAUGUCCUUGUCCCGCCAUCUCCCAGGUAAUAUUGGGUCACCUUGGCUGCCUGCAGCAAGAAUCCCGUCAGGUCAGUUUGGCCAGAAUCCCCUCUCACCCACCUUCCCCUACAAAGAUUGCUUUGUUCUUUGUCUCUCAUACAUCUGCCCACAUAGGAGAAGAGGCUUUUUACUCAUCGUUGCUUCAAAAAGGGGCAGAGGUAGACUAUCUUCCUUCUUAAAGCUGCAAAACAAUAAAGCUGACUCAAAGAUAACCUUAUCUUCAACCAUA